AGUCACAUCUUUUGCAAUAUGUGAUCUUAGCAAGAUCCAUUUGAAAUGAAGUCUCAGAGCUGACAAGCAGUGAUUUAUCACUGUACAGAACUGGAAGAGGACAUACAGAGGGGCCAGACCACGGGGAAAUGUCAUAAAAUGAGACGAAGAUGUGGCCUGAACUCUAACAGGCAGAUAAUUCUCCCAGAUUGUCUCUCUGCACCAUCAAACAAUAACUUCAGAUGCUGUUCAAAUAUGACAGUAUUGAUCAGAAUUCGCAGAUGACAGAAAAGUGAAGUUAUUGGUCCCACUGCAGAUAGAAGCAUGUGAUUCUGCUGUCCGUGAAACAACAGCAUGGUUCUUCUGUAAUGGAGGAAGGAGUGACUGACAUUAGAACACCCAAGACAACAGGUCCAGAGAAGGAUUUGCCAAAGGAAUCUGGUAGUGACCAGUAAGAAUGAAGAGAGAAACAAACCUUUUCUGAUUAUAGAGAUGGACUUGGAAGAUCUGGCUCAGGGCUGGCAUUGGGUAACAUCAGAGACUCAGGUCUAAAACCACAUACUCGGCCCUUAACCCACGUCAUUCUCACAUCCAUAGCAAAGGUUCAUUGUUCUCUUUUGGUUUGGGUAUUUUUUCAGAGCUCUCAGUCGGGCUGUUACUUCCUCUUGCUUCUCUCAUCUCCCACAGCUGAACACUUUGGGCCACGCUGAUCCUGCCCAGUGGCCACUUCAGUCCAUUUUCUCCCAUUCUUGAAAUUUAUGGUCAUUUUUGCCUUAUUCGUUUGAUAAGAAAUGGAUAUUUGGAAUUCAAACAAAACUUUCUGACUCGGAUAUUCCACAGCGAGGCAAUAUCAGCAUGCACUGACAUCUAUAUUAGCAGCAAGGUAAACUGUCUUUCUUUGAAGAAAUAUCUCCUUUUUAAAGUUUCCCCUGAGGUGACACAGUUUCUGGUAGAUAAAUACUUGAAGUGCUUUCUCUUAGAAAAAUGGAAAUGGAAAUCGUUUGAUGUUCUCAUAAGGCACAAACCCAUGGGGCUGUUUGGGACUUCUCAGCAAACUUCCUACCUGUAUUCUAGGAUGGGGGAUUAAUUUCAGAUUGUGAGUACAGCUGAGAAGAGCAGUAAAGGAAGAGCCAGAGGCUGCUGCCUGGAUUUUGUGCAGGUUUUGUUCAGGUAUUGUAGCCACAAAGCAGCUGAAAUAAACUUUCCACAAACCCUGAUUUAGCUGAUUGCUAAAGAGUGUGAAUAUCACAACAGGUAGCUCAGCUAUCUUAGCUUGGCUCAACAUAAGCAUGGAGAAGUGUAAAUAUAUUCAGCCUACAGGGGAGAGAGCAAUUCCCUGAAUUGGCUGGGGCUGCUUCUGGCUUUUCUUUCUCCUGCAUCACUCCAGUGUGUUAUCUGCAUUUCCUGAUUGCUUCACACUGUUCCUGCUAAGACCUUUGACUCCUACUCGCUUCUUUUUUGACAUCAUUUGAGAAGUAAUAGCUUUUAAAAAUUGUAUUUCAAGCAAUUGACUUUCUGCAGGGCUGAGAACAGCAAGGCUAUUGUGCAGUGGUGAGGCCAGGGAGCAGAUGGUGACACUGAUGCUAGUUAUUGAGAAACGAGAAGAUCUCAGUAACUCAUAGCUGUGGAGAUAAGUGAUUUUCUACAUAAAACAUCAUGGAAUAGUUUGAGUUGGAAGGGACCUUUAAAGGUCAUCGAGUCCAGCUCUCCACAUAAUGAUCUGUUACCCUUUGACUUCUGCGUAUUCCUUUAAUUCUAGUCAGUAUCCAAACAUUUUUCCUGUAGGUUCCUGAAUCUUUUAGCAGUUAUAAAGUAUUUAUUUGUAUUGUCUCAUGUCUGUCACUCAUAGCUGUGUGCUGCUGGCUGGUGGGAGAGAACAAGCUGAAACACAAAGCAUUUCAGCAACACUGGCAUAAACAGUGCACAAGUGCCAGAGGGGCUGAUUUGGGAAGAUUCUUAAGAUAUAUCUGCCCCAACACUGUCAGUAGCUGUUCCUUGGUGUGAAGUGUUGAAGAAAUGAAUGUGUGCUAAGGAAUGUUGGAGCCACAUGUGCAGAGGUGGCACAUCUGGCUCUGCCUUUUCUCCCAGAAAGAUGUACCCUCUGGCAGUAGGAGAGAGCUGGAGCUGGGAAUGCUGCUGUAUGGUGAAGCUGACUGAGCCCUAAUCCUGCCCUCAGCCUCACUGCAUCUCAGAGAGUGAAAUGCCACAUGUGGGAAUCAUAGAAUAGUCUGAGUUGGAAGGGACCUUUAAAGGCCAUCUGAUCCAAGCCCCUGCAAUGAACAGGAACACCCACAGCUCCAUCAGUGCUCAGAACUUCUCCAGCCUGACCUGCAAUUUGAACAUUCAAAGUUGUUUAACGUCUAAUUGUAAUUGUGUCACAUUUAGGUGAAGGACUCUGUUUUGGAAGAAAAUCAAAGAGAACAAACAAACAUAACCCCCCCAAGGAAACAAAACUCACUGCUUUUGAAGUUAAAGCAAACACUGCUGUUUGCCAGUGACACACAUGCUUGCUGACCAGCAAACAGCCAGGAGAGAUGGUUAGAGCACCUGGUGUGCGAUGGCAGAGAAGGAUGUUCACAGGUGUUUAGGGCAGGAAACCAUGAAAGAAACAAAUGCAGAUCCUUGUACUUCAAUGUCAAGAGACAACUGCAAAUUGAAGCAUGUAAAGAUCUUGCUGAUCCUACACAGAGGACCCACGGUGCAUCUUGAAUUGCCACAGUUUUCAUUGCAGAUCUCUGAUGUAUUUUCAGGGCCAGUUACAAGAAGAAACAGUAGGUUACACAAUAUUAAGCAAUUUCUUUUGAUGUGUGAGUCAACAAGGCAUAGAGUAUGAACCAUGUAUGAUCCUCACGGGCAGCCUCUUGGCUUCAUUUCUAGGGGGAAAAAUAAGAGAGCACAUAAUUGUUGGUCCCAGCAGGGAAGGAAAGGAAAAAAGAGCUGUAGCCAACAGCAGAGCUAUAGGAGUCCCAAAUGUAUGAGCUGCUGUGUAUGUACCUUCUCUGGGGGAAGCCUGCACAGCCCUAGAGCAUAAACAGCAACAGCUGUUUACAUCCUCAGCCUGCUCUGGGUGAGGGGGAGGUCUUUUUUUAUUUGGAGGAGAAACAUUAAAGAGUAUCUAUCCUCUUUUUUUCCCCAGAUUUCACCAUGUGUUUAAUAGGCCAAAGUGAAAAACAAACAAAGCGCAAAGCCAGCAAUUCUGGUUUGGAUUUUGUGAAAACAUGCACCGUAAAAAAAACAUUCAGAUAUCACAUAAUUUUUUUUCCUGAGAUUCGUAGGAAACAAAAGCAGCCAAUACUGACAAUGAGCAUUUCCCACAAUUAACUACUGAAGUUCCAAAACACGCAUCCAGGAGGACCAAAAAGGGAGAUACCACAGUGGAGAAUUUACUUUGAAGUUGGAUUAAACCAAUGUUCAGUUUUAUCAGACAUGAGACAAAGAAUUGGACUGAAGUCCAUCCCAACACAGAUACAUCCUGACUUUGCAACUGAAGUGUUACAGACCAAAGCCAGCAGUUCUAUGCUAUUUUGUGAACUUCUUCACUUGUAGUAACACAAUAUUUGGUUGGGACUUGUAGCUGCCUGGGCACAUCUCUUCAUUUAUCCAUAUUACUUUAAUAGCAGCUAAAAUCUAUGAAAUUCAAUCACAUUCUUCCCUCCACAUUGCCACUGGUCCCAGCUGAACAGCAUAGCAAUUACUUCAUGUGAUCUGUCCAUAUAAACUAUCCCCAAAGUGUAAGCAAAGCCCACUAAAGAGGAGUCUUGAUUAGCUUGCAAGUCUGCUGCAGGCAGCUGUGACUGAGAGGAGCAUGGCUUGGGUUCCACCUGGUGGCCAGGAGGCAUCCGUGAGAGCC